AUUGAACGCUGGCGGCAUGCCUUACACAUGCAAGUCGAACGGCAGCACGGGUGCUUGCACCUGGUGGCGAGUGGCGAACGGGUGAGUAAUACAUCGGAACAUGUCCUGUAGUGGGGGAUAGCCCGGCGAAAGCCGGAUUAAUACCGCAUACGAUCUACGGAUGAAAGCGGGGGACCUUCGGGCCUCGCGCUAUAGGGUUGGCCGAUGGCUGAUUAGCAAGUUGGUGGGGUAAAGGCCUACCAAGGCGACGAUCAGUAGCUGGUCUGAGAGGACGACCAGCCACACUGGGACUGAGACACGGCCCAGACUCCUACGGGAGGCAGCAGUGGGGAAUUUUGGACAAUGGGCGAAAGCCUGAUCCAGCAAUGCCGCGUGUGUGAAGAAGGCCUUCGGGUUGUAAAGCACUUUUGUCCGGAAAGAAAUCCUUGGCCCUAAUACGGUCGGGGGAUGACGGUACCGGAAGAAUAAGCACCGGCUAACUACGUG
rnacentral:rRNA from 1 species